rnacentral:rRNA from 1 species
GUAGGUGGCAAGCGUUGUCCGGAAUUAUUGGGCGUAAAGCGCGCGCAGGCGGGUCCUUUAAGUCUGAUGUGAAAGCCCACGGGCUCAACCGUGGAGGGUCAUUGGAAACUGGGGGACUUGAGUACAGAAGAGGAAAGCGGAAUUCCAAGUGUAGCGGUGAAAUGCGUAGAGAUUUGGAGGAACACCAGUGGCGAAGGCGGCUUUCUGGUCUGUAACUGACGCUGAGGCGCGAAAGCGUGGGGAGCAAACAGGAUUAGAUACCCUGGUAGUCCACGCCGUAAACGAUGGGUGCCAAGUGUUAGGGGGGUUUCCGCCCCUUAGUGCUGCAGCUAACGCAUUAAGCACUCCGCCUGGGGAGUACGGCCGCAAAGGCUGA